UACGGAGGAUCCAAGCGUUAUCCGGAUUUAUUGGGUUUAAAGGGUGCGUAGGCGGCUUAUUAAGUCAGGGGUGAAAGACGGUGGCUCAACCAUCGCAGUGCCUUUGAUACUGAUGAGCUUGAAUACACUUGAGGUAGGCGGAAUGUGACAAGUAGCGGUGAAAUGCUUAGAUAUGACAUAGAACACCAAUUGCGAAGGCAGCUCACUACACAAUCAUUGACUCUGAGGCACGAAAGCGUGGGGAUCAAACAGG
rnacentral:rRNA from 1 species